UCGUCAGCUCGUGUCGUGAGAUGUUGGGUUAAUCCCGCAACGAGCGCAACCCUCGCCUUUAGUUGCCAGCAUUCAGUUGGGCACUCUAAAGGGACUGCCGGUGUCAAACCGGAGGAAGGUGGGAUGACGUCAAGUCCUCAUGGCCUUUAUGUCUAGGGCUACACACGUACUACAAUGGCAGGUACAAAGGGCAGCGACACAGCGAUGUGAUGCGAAUCCCGAAAAGCCUGUCUCAGUCCGGAUCGGAGUCUGCAACUCGACUCCGUGAAGUUGGAAUCGCUAGUAAUCGUGGAUCAGCAUGCCACGGUGAAUACGUUCCCGGGCCUU
rnacentral:rRNA from 1 species